rnacentral:rRNA from 1 species
CGAGAAGUUUUCUUCGGAAAGCGAGUAGAGUGGCGCACGGGUGAGUAACGCGUAGGCAAUCUACCCUUAUGACUGGGAUAACAUUGGGAAACUGGUGCUAAUACCGGAUACACUUCUUUACUGCGGGGUAAAGGAGGAAAGGUGGCCUCUUCAUGAAAGCUACCGUAUAGGGAUGAGCCUGCGUACCAUUAGCUAGUAGGCGGGGUAACGGCCCACCUAGGCAACGAUGGUUAGCGGGUCUGAGAGGAUGAUCCGCCACACUGGAACUGGAACACGGACCUGACUCCUACGGGAGGCAGCAGUGAGGAAUAUUGCGCAAUGGGGGAAACCCUGACGCAGCGACGCCGCGUGAGUGAGGAAGGUUUUCGGAUCGUAAAGCUCUGUCAGAAGGGAAGAAGUGUUAUAUGGUUAACACCCAUAUAAUUUGACGGUACCUUCAGAGGAAGCACCGGCUAACUCCGUGCCAGCAGCCGCGGUAAUACGGAGGGUGCAAGCGUUGUUCGGAAUUACUGGGCGUAAAGGGCGCGUAGGCGGCUGGAUAAGUCAGAUGUGAAAGUCCAUGGCUCAACUGUGGAAGUGCAUUUGAAACUGUCCGGCUUGAGUAUCGGAGGGGAGUGUGGAAUUCCCGGUGUAGAGGUGAAAUUCGUAGAGAUCGGGAGGAACACCGGUGGCGAAGGCGACACUCUGGACGAAUACUGACGCUGAGGCGCGAAAGCGUGGGGAGCAAACAGGAUUAGAUACCCUGGUAGUCCACGCCGUAAACGAUGUGAACUAGGGAUAGGGGGUGUUGAUCCCUCCUGU